rnacentral:rRNA from 1 species
UACAGAGGGUGCUAGCGUUGUUCGGAAUCAUUGGGCGUAAAGGGCGUGUAGGCGGUUUGUUAAGUCAUGUGUGAAAUCCCUCGGCUCAACCGGGGAACGACGCAUGAAACUGGCAAGCUAGAGUACCAAAGAGGGGGUGGAAUUCCCGGUGUAGCGGUGAAUGCGUAGAGAUGUGGAGGAACACCGAUGGCGAAGGCAGCCCUCGGGCGUAACACUGACGCUCAUGCACGAAGCGUGGGAGCAACAGG